UACGUAGGGCGCGAGCGUUGUCCGGAUUUAUUGGGCGUAAAGAGCUCGUAGGCGGCUCGUUGCGUCAACCGUGAAAACCCGGGGCUUAACUUCGGGCUUGCGGUUGAUACGGGCGGGCUGGAGUUCGGUAGGGGAGACUGGAAUUCCUGGUGUAGCGGUGAAAUGCGCAGAUAUCAGGAGGAACACCGGUGGCGAAGGCGGGUCUCUGGGCCGAUACCGACGCUGAGGAGCGAAAGCGUGGGGAGCGAACAGA
rnacentral:rRNA from 1 species